rnacentral:rRNA from 1 species
AGAGUUUGAUCCUGGCUCAGAGUGAACGCUGGCGGCGUGCUUAACACAUGCAAGUCGAGCGGUUCCUGGCAGUGUAUCGCCAGGGAUAGCGGCAGACGGGUGAGUAAUGCUUGGGCAAUCUGCCCUCCAGAGGGAAACAACCUGCCGAAAGGCGGGCUAAUAUCCCAUAAGACCACGGGAUCGCAUGAUUCUGAGGUAAAAGCUCCGCAAGGGGCGUUGGAGGAGGAGCCCGAGUCCUAUCAUGGUAGUUGGUGAGGUAACGGCUCACCAAGCCUACGACGGGUAGCCGGCCUGAAAGGGUGAUCGGCCACACUGGCACUGAGACACGGGCCAGACUCCUACGGGAGGCAGCAGUGGGGAAUUUUGGACAAUGGGGGCAACCCUGAUCCAGCGACGCCGCGUGGAGGAUGAAGGUCUUCGGAUUGUAAACUCCUUUUCAAGGGGAAGAAUGGCCGGAUGAAGAAUCCGGUGUGACGGUACUCUUGGAAUAAGCCACGGCUAACUACGUGCCAGCAGCCGCGGUA